UACGGAGGGUGCGAGCGUUAAUCGGAAUUACUGGGCGUAAAGCGUGCGCAGGCGGUUUGUUAAGCGUGAUGUGAAAGCCCCGGGCUCAACCUGGGAACCGCAUUUCGAACUGGCAAACUAGAGUCUUGUAGAGGGGGGUAGAAUUCCAGGUGUAGCGGUGAAAUGCGUAGAGAUCUGGAGGAAUACCGGUGGCGAAGGCGGCCCCCUGGACAAAGACUGACGCUCAGGCACGAAAGCGUGGGGAGCAAACAGG
rnacentral:rRNA from 1 species